CUUUCUCCCUUUUCUUCAGCAAUUCCUGGGACUACCCUUUUCCUCAGGGGUCCCAGCAUAAUAUUCCUUCUUGCUGUGGGCAAACACCUUAAAAGCCUGAGCCACAUGCAAAAAAUAAUUUCCAAUAAGCAUGUCAACAGGAAUAUGGUCCACUACUCCCACUGUUAGAAACCGAUGGUUUAGCAAGUAUAUUAUGUGCAUUUUGGCCAAAGGCACAAGAAUCCUGACACCUCAUACUAACAAAAGCUCUGCCCUUUGUCCUGGCAAUAUGUCACCUUCUUGAAUUAUGCUCUGCUGAACCACAGAAAUUUCUGCACCUGUGUCUUCCCAUCCUAAUUAUUCCUUGCCAUUGAUCUUGACAACCUUAAUGUGCUCCAUGUCUCGUUCUGCAGAGGCUAAUCCCACAAAAGCAGUAUGAUAAGUGCCAGGCACUUGUUAGGUUUCUGUGUUGAGGACAGCAGAAUUAACAUGGGCUAUUGGUUGCUGGCUUCCUCCCAGCACAAGGGGAUUUAUUCUUCAGGUAAAACAGUGACCCUGCUUCCCACCAGGUUUAAACCCCUCUUUCUGUGGUUUACUCUCAAUGGAUGCCUGGGUCUGCUCAAAGUCAUCAGAAAGCAAGCAAACAUCUCAGAUGGGAAGAAAAGUGUCCUGAACCAAAGAGGAUUAAUACAUAAACUGAUAGGUUGCAGCAGAUGAUUCAUGAGGAGCCAGCCAUCAGCAUCCCCUAAUGCAGAGGAGCCAAGAAGCAAACACCUCAGAGGCCAGUCUUGACCAGACCCAAUGAGAGCAAAAUAGUAUUAACAACCUAAGAUGUAAUGAGAUGGGUCUGGGUCAGCAUGAGAAGAGAAGCCCAGAGGAUUUGACUGAUCAUCUAUCACCUAAACAUGGUGUCUGUGUUACAGUAUUACAUAAUAGUCUGUGAUAACCAUCAAAGAGGUCUAAUAGAUUAUGAAAAAUGAGCCUUAAAGUAGACUGACUAGUCUAAUUAAUCAGUGUUUGGAAGGAGUUUUGUUAAUCUGAGAAAAUGAAAGAUGACCAUUAUUUAAUACUUAUAUUAUGCCGUAAAGUUCUAUUCAGCAUGAAUGUCAGAGUCUGGCUCAGUACACACAACUUAUCAUCCUCACUCAAAAAAUAAUGGCCUCUUCCCUCUUUUCAGCAAAAACUUAAUAGGAGAGUGCUGUAAUGUUUCCUACUGUGAAGACUUCAUUUGCUAUAUAAAAUACAUUGCAGAGCACUUACUAGUUCACUGGUAUUAUCAGUCACUUAAA